CAGCAUCCACUCCGCAUCAAUACUCCGUAAUCAUACUAAAAGCUUCUACAACCACAAUGCAUCACCACACUCGCACAAUUCCAUUUCUAUUCUUAUAUAAUAUAUAAUAUAUACAGACAUAAAUCCAUAUAUAUAAUCGUACACGUGACGUACAAGUGCCUCAUUGUCUGACAUCCCACAUUUCCAUUCUGUUUCCGCCAAUUUAUUCCUCAAUUCCAAUAAAACAACAACUCUGGUGAGAAUAAAAUUAUUGUAUUCGAGCCGCGGAAUCGAGCAGCGCGAUUAAAUUAUACUCCAUCGAACACGAAAAUGAUAAACGUUUUAAAAUAACGAAAUCCAUUUCUCUCUUUCUCUUCCUCCUCCUCCUCCUCCUCCUCCUCCUCCUCUUCCUUCCUCCUUCCUCCUCCCUCCUCGUGUGGUUGGAACGAGUUUACCCCUCUUAGCCAUCUCAGCCUCGAAGAUAAAGAUAUAAUAGUAUCGUUGCAAUUCAUAAAAGAACCGACAAACAAUUAACGAAACGAUUGUUCCAGGCUUGGAAUUGAUUGGAUAAAGCGCGUGACGUGAUCUUUUCGAGGAAGAUAUACUUGUCUCGGUUCCACGAGGUAAUUAGUGAAUCAUUAGUGAGCCGUGUGACGAGAAUAGAGGUAAUGGCGAGCGAAUCGUUGAAUAGAAUUCGAUAUUAAUAGAAUGGGUUUGGGUUUCAGGUUUGUUGCGGAUGCGUGGUUUUACGGGUAAUUCGGCAAUGGUUCUAAACAGUUUUGCGCGGAUGUUGAUUGAAAUUUAUUCGAAGGGAUAAAUCGGAGGGAUAAAGAUGAUUCGAUUCAAUUUUAUAUACGUUUGAAAUUAAUUGAAAAAAAUUAUCGAAUCCAAUUCCACUUCUUGGAAUAAAAUAAUCAAUCCCUCUCGCGAAGGAGAGGUGUUGUUAAAAAUUACAAAUUUUCCUCGUCUCGAUGAUAAAUCUUGGAAGGGACGAGAGAAGAAAAGAUAAAGAGGGGAAAAAGUAAAACGUGGUUUAAAAGGGUUUAAACCUUUGAACGUGAUUUGUACAAGGAUUUCGUGGAAGCGUGGACACUUGUUGAAGGCAGGAUUCAUUCUUCGUUAAAAUUGCAGGCGAAAGAGUGGUAGAAUAAUAAUGAUAUAGUCUUGACUCACGCGCUGUCGUCGUCGCGUGGCGAACAAUGACUGGCGUAUAAAUCAUAGACGAGGCUCGCGAUUGCGUGUGUUGUUAUUAUCGUUCGCCAACAAUUUGUGUACAACCUGGUGUGCAAUCUGGCCUGAAAAAAAAUCUACCCGUGGCUGAAGGCUUGUGCUUCGUACCACAAGAAUUAAUAGAUGCUCGUUAAUUUUGCUCGGGCAUGGGACAGAGAGGGGGACGUUGUUGUGCAUGUCCAAUAUCGAGUUGUCCUGAUUCGAAGAUGGAGAAAGAUGAGGGACAGGGAUUUAGAAAUUGAUCUUUCUAGAGAGAACGUGUUUCGGCGAUAUAUAAGAAAUAAACAAUUGAGAUUUGCUCCAAGAUAAAAGAGAUGACCACACUAGAAUACAGUUAAACAGUUUACUCAAACACUAUGCAACGAUCAAUCGCGAUAAUUUACACAGACAAUCGCGUUAAAAAUCGGAAUUGUAACCGUUUAAAAUUCAAUGCCCCUGGAACUAUCGACCAAGAAAUCAGUCAAAGGAUGGAAAAAAAAAAGAAAAGGAAAGAAGAACGAGAUGGAAUGAAAUUGGAAUACGAGAGACACGAAUUACGGUAUUGAAAUAAUAAUGACGAGGCAAAGGGAUACGGGCGAUCCGAUCGACAAUGAAGGCGUCUUUCCUAACGAAGCGAUCGAGGAUCCCAUAAAUCCUCGGAUUAUUAAUACCUGGCAGUCUCGGUGCGUGAAUCCGGCAGGUGGUUGGCUGGCCUCUAAUCGUGAUCCGGGAAUAAUUUACACUCGUACACCGCUCGGAAGCCAUCGGAAUCUUUAACGACUAUUGGCCCGGUUUCGCGCCGUUUCCUUCGAGAUGAGAGAGAGGAACUUUAUAGAGUGGAGAAAGGAUGAUGAGGGUAGUCGAGGAGUGAUGAUGGACGACGAGAUGCGAUAAAGAAUUAGAGAUUUGCAUUUUAUUGGCUCGAUGUUUUAAUUUUGAAUGGGAUAUUUGGUGGAUUGAAAGGAUGAUCGAAGAUCGAUGAUAAGUGGAUUAAGAUGAAGUAGUCGAUGAUUAAUAGAUUUAAAAAGAUUUAUCGAAAUGUUUCUUUCGAUCCUACCAUAUUAAAAAGAUUCAAUUUUAGAAAUCGAUCGAAAUUAAAAUCAUUCGAAAUUCUCAAAAUUCUUCCAAUCAAAACCUUUCCCUAUCAAAAUAAAAAUAAAAAAAAAGCCAACAAACAUCUCAAUUAAUCUCGAUUCUCCACCAAGAUAUCCGCCGUCUAACCGCUUGGACUCCACCGGUCGAACACCGGCGAUUCCAGCCAGAUUAACGAGCCUGAUUAGUCACAAUCAACAACCACUUCCGCCUUUACAACCCGUCACAAAACACCGCCGAUCUCCAACCAUCAUCGUCCAUCCAGCCCAUGUUUAACCAUCCAUUUCUCCUCCACGAGUGGAGGACCGUGAUAAUCUCCAUCCCUCUCCCUCUCCCCCUCCCCCUUUUUCCUCGGACGAUUCAGUUAUAAUUCAAUCUUCACGACAGUCUAAUCCUCCGUUCCAGUCUAAUCCUCGAUUCGAGAUCGCGAUCGAUGCGAAAAAGCGCGAGGGAACGGAUGGAAAGGUCAAAUGGAGGCAAAACCGAAUCCGACCAAUGGUGGAUCUGGAAUGGAAUAUCCUCAUCCGUGGCGUGGUAUCCGCGAGCACAGGGGGGGGAGUACGAGGUGGAAGGUUCGCGGACAAGGUGUAAGUCGAUCGAGUUCGAUCCAAUAGAUCAGGCGGCAGAUUCGUUGCCGGUUAUUACAAGGGGUCGGAGGUCGAUCGCUCGCAUAAACCAUUUAGCCUUCGAUCGACUAUCGAUACCGAUAUUUCCCAGAGGUAUCGGCUAUCUCGGCUGCUCGAUCUUCGGCCGACAAGGCCCACGAUUUAUCCUCCCCCUUCAACUCGUUUAUCGUGGUUCCUCUAUCUCUCUCUCUCUCUCGUUAUAUAUAUCUACGAAACAGGGUUAAAUGUUUGGGUCUGGCUUUCUUUUUCUUUUUUUUUUUUUUCUUUCUUUAUUUUCGUGCUUUUGUUUAUCACGUUUUUUUUUUUCAUCAACGUGAUUCGGAUAUCUUCCUCGUGGCAGGUUGGUAAUUAAUUGAUGGAAUUUUUGGAGGAAAGGGUUGUUAUUGAAAAUUUGAGUUUGUAGAUUUUCUCGGUUUUUAUUUGAAUUAAUAUAUAUAUAUAUAAGAUUACGAAUGUAAUUCGGAUAUUUUGGAUAAAGAAUUUUUUUUUAAAAGAAUUUG